CGGAAACCGGAGCUAAUACCAGAUAAUAUUUUGAACCGCAUGGUUCAAAAGUAAAAGACGGUCUUGCUGUCACUUAUAGAUGGAUCCGCGCUGCAUUAGCUAGUUGGUAAGGUAACGGCUUACCAAGGCAACGAUGCAUAGCCGACCUGAGAGGGUGAUCGGCCACACUGGAACUGAGACACGGUCCAG
rnacentral:rRNA from 1 species